rnacentral:rRNA from 1 species
GAUGAACGCUGGCGGCGUGCCUAAUACAUGCAAGUCGAGCGAACAGACGAGGAGCUUGCUCCUCUGACGUUAGCGGCGGACGGGUGAGUAACACAUGGAUAACCUACCUAUAAGACUGGGAUAACUUCGGGAAACCGGAGCUAAUACCGGAUAAUAUAUUGAACCGCAUGGUUCAAUAGUGAAAGACGGUUUUGCUGUCACUUAUAGAUGGAUCUGCGCCGCAUUAGCUAGUUGGUAAGGUAACGGCUUACCAAGGCAACGAUGCGUAGCCGACCUGAGAGGGUGAUCGGCCACACUGGAACUGAGACACGGUCCAGACUCCUACGGGAGGCAGCAGUAGGGAAUCUUCCGCAAUGGGCGAAAGCUUGACGGAGCAACGCCGCGUGAGUGAUGAAGGUCUUCGGAUCGUAAAACUCUGUUAUUAGGGAAGAACAAAUGUGUAAGUAACUAUGCACGUCUUGACGGUACCUAAUCAGAAAGCCACGGCUAACUACGUG